rnacentral:rRNA from 1 species
UGGGGAAUAUUGGACAAUGGGCGCAAGCCUGAUCCAGCCAUGCCGCGUGAGUGAUGAAGGCCCUAGGGUUGUAAAGCUCUUUCACCGGUGAAGAUAAUGACGGUAACCGGAGAAGAAGCCCCGGCUAACUUCGUGCCAGCAGCCGCGGUAAUACGAAGGGGGCUAGCGUUGUUCGGAUUUACUGGGCGUAAAGCGCACGUAGGCGGACUAUUAAGUCAGGGGUGAAAUCCCGGGGCUCAACCCCGGAACUGCCUUUGAUACUGGUAGUCUUGAGUUCGAGAGAGGGGAGUGGAAUUCCGGGUGUAGAGGUGAAAUUCGUAGAUAUUCGGAGGAACACCAGUGGCGAAGGCGGCUCACUGGCUCGCUACUGACGCUGAGGUGCGAAAGCGUGGGGAGCAAACAGG